GUCAUCUUCAUGGUCGAAAUCAACUCUUUUCAUGGGAGCUCCAAUUACCUUUUGUCCUACUCGAAGUGGUAAGCAAUCGGAUACCCGAAAGACACUCGUUGUGUUCUCGAAGAGGAUUUCCGGUUUAGAAGAGGCAAUGAGAAUCAGGAGACAACGUGAGCUUCAAAGUCGAGUCAAGUUUCGAAAAAGACCGCCUUUGAGGCGUGGAAGGGUGUCGCCC
rnacentral:misc_RNA from 1 species